rnacentral:rRNA from 1 species
GAGGUUAAGCGACUAAGCGUACACGGUGGAUGCCCUGGCAGUCAGAGGCGAUGAAGGACGUGCUAAUCUGCGAUAAGCGCCGGUAAGGUGAUAUGAACCGUUAUAACCGGCGAUUUCCGAAUGGGGAAACCCAGUGUGACUCGUCACACUAUCAUUAACUGAAUCCAUAGGUUAAUGAGGCGAACCGGGGGAACUGAAACAUCUAAGUACCCCGAGGAAAAGAAAUCAACCGAGAUUCCCCCAGUAGCGGCGAGCGAACGGGGAGGAGCCCAGAGCCUGAAUCAGCAUGUGUGUUAGUGGAAGCGUCUGGAAAGGCGCGCGAUACAGGGUGACAGCCCCGUACACAAAAGCGCAUGUGCUGUGAGCUCGAUGAGUAGGGCGGGACACGUGGUAUCCUGUCUGAAUAUGGGGGGACCAUCCUCCAAGGCUAAAUACUCCUGACUGACCGAUAGUGAACCAGUACCGUGAGGGAAAGGCGAAAAGAACCCCGGCGAGGGGAGUGAAAAAGAACCUGAAACCGUGUACGUACAAGCAGUGGGAGCACCCUUUGGGGUGUGACUGCGUACCUUUUGUAUAAUGGGUCAGCGACUUAUAUUCUGUAGCAAGGUUAACCGAAUAGGGGAGCCGGAGGGAAACCGAGUCUUAAUUGGGCGUUAAGUUGCAGGGUAUAGACCCGAAACCCGGUGAUCUAGCCAUGGGCAGGUUGAAGGUUGGGUAACACUAACUGGAGGACCGAACCGACUAAUGUUGAAAAAUUAGCGGAUGACCUGUGGCUGGGGGUGAAA